rnacentral:lncRNA from 1 species
GAUAGUGAGUUCUCUUCUCAGCUCUGCUGUUUAUUAGCUGGCUGAUCAUGAGAAAAUUACAUAAACUCUCUGACUGUCACUUUCCCUGUCUCUAGCAAAGGCUGUUAUGAUGGGAUUUUUGGGAAAAAGAAGAAAUUUCCUGAAAAGGACUUGGCAUUGAGCCUGGCAAAGACCCACAGGAGCCAGGCUUCCUGCCAGAGCGAGGACUCGGCAG